rnacentral:rRNA from 1 species
GACGAACGCUGGCGGCGUGCUUAACACAUGCAAGUCGAGCGGUAAGGCCCUUUCGGGGGUACACGAGCGGCGAACGGGUGAGUAACACGUGGGUGACCUGCCCUCAGCUCUGGGAUAAGCCUGGGAAACCGGGUCUAAUACCGGGAUAUGACUCCAUGACGCAUGUUGUGGGGUGGAAAGCCUUGUGCGGCUGAGGAUGGGCCCGCGGCCUAUCAGCUUGUUGGUGGGGUGAUGGCCUACCAAGGCGACGACGGGUAGCCGGCCUGAGAGGGCGACCGGCCACACUGGGACUGAGACACGGCCCAGACUCCUACGGGAGGCAGCAGUGGGGAAUCUUGCGCAAUGGGCGAAAGCCUGACGCAGCGACGCCGCGUGAGGGAUGACGGCCUG